UACGGAGGGUGCAAGCGUUAUCCGGAUUUACUGGGUUUAAAGGGUGCGUAGGUGGGUCUGUAAGUCAGUGGUGAAAUCUCCGAGCUUAACUCGGAAACUGCCAUUGAUACUAUAGAUCUUGAAUUAUCUGGAGGUAAGCGGAAUAUGUCAUGUAGCGGUGAAAUGCUUAGAUAUGACAUAGAACACCAAUUGCGAAGGCAGCUUACUACGGGUCGAUUGACACUGAGGCACGAAAGCGUGGGGAUCAAACAGG
rnacentral:rRNA from 1 species